rnacentral:rRNA from 1 species
CCUACGGGCGGCAGCAGUGAGGAAUAUUGGUCAAUGGGCGCGAGCCUGAACCAGCCAAGCAGCGUGAAGGAUGACUGCCCUACGGGUUGUACACUUCUUUUAUAAAGGAAUAAAGUGAGGCACGUGUGCCUUUUUGUAUGUACUUUAUGAAUAAGGAUAGGCUAACUCCGUGCCAGCAGCAGCGGUAAUACGGAGGAUCCGAGCGUUAUCCGGAUUUUUUGGGUUUAAAGGGAGCGUAGAGGGGUUGUUAAGUCAGUUGUGAAAGUUUGCGGCGCAACCGUAAAAUUGCAAUGGAUACUGGCAGCCUUGAGUACAGUUGAGGUAGGCGGAAUUCGAGGUGUAGCGGUGAAAUGCUUAGAGAUCACGAAGAACUCCGAUGGCGAAGGCAGCCUACUAAACGGCCACUGACAUUGAUGCUCGAAAGUGUGGGGAGCAAACAGGAUUAGAUACCCUGGUAGUC